GGGCGCCUGUUGCCAUGGAGACGAGCCCCGAUGGCGGCGCGGGGGGCGCAGCCACCAGGCCCGUUACCCAUGAGGUGAUGGACAGUACCUUGCCAGCAGUUGCAGAAGAGCUUUUGAAAGAGAUCAAAAAGGCCUUUCAGGAGACAUCACAUGUCCCUGAUGACCUGCUGCUGGGGCUGAAGUUCAUCUUUGGCCCCACUGCUGUCCCAGCUCUGGAUCUGGUGGAUCAGCGUUCGGUCACGCGAGUCGUGUCCCCCAGCGGCAGGGCUGCCUACCAGGUCCUUGGGAGCUCAGGCAAACUCUACACCUGCUACAGCUCCUGCCACUUCUGCACGUGUCCUGCUUUUGGUUUUACUGUACUGCAGAAGAGCGAGAGCCUUCUGUGCAAACAUAUACUUGCUGUCUACCUCAGUCGGGCCAUGGGAGCCUGCCAGGAACUGCCUGUCUCUGAGGAGCAGCUCACAAGCAUCUUACUGGCUGAGGAAGAGGAUGAAGGAUGAAGGACUCUGGGAUCACAAGCAGAUGUACUUUCUGUGCACCCUCCCAGCUGUGUAGCUGGCACCUUUCAUAUCUACAAGGAUGUCAAGAGUUCCUUGUGGCUGGGAUGUGCUGCAAACUCCUCCCAAUAUCUCUGCUCUCAGUGGAUUGAUCCCAGGUACCAAUGAUGAUCACUGUGACUAUGGAGAAGGGUCCCAGCUGGUUGCUGAGCCAAGAGAAAACUGGGGAUGGUUCAUUAAUUACCUUGUUAUUACCUCAAUACACCUGUUGGGUGGGACACUGUCUUAAGUGAACAGGUGUUCACUGUUAAGAAUCAGGUGAUAAAGAAGAGCCUGACUGACCAGCCCAAGGCACCAAGUCUGAUGGGUGAGGGGCAGCAUGGGACUGUGGCCCCCAACAUAAACCAUCACCAAGAAAAACAGGAAAGGGCUGAGACUCAACUCUUUUCCUAAGCUCCACAGAACAUGACCAGAGAGCAAGGAAUCAACAGAUUUUCACAGCUCUGAAUGCCCCAGCAAACCCCUCCUUCAUUCUCUUUUAGGCUUAAUACUAUUAGGCAAAAAAACAUUAAAGUAAAUUUACUCAUCUAAGUCUGCUCAAUUAAUGUGUAACAAAUAUUGAAUCUCCUCUCUGUUUCUGCCCAGAGGCAUCAAAUGUUGCUUUAAUGUAAAUAACAGCUGAAUAUUUUAAAAUGAUUUAUUGAGAUGAAAUAACCUGGCAAUGUAUUAGUUCCUAUGACAUGGCCAAGCAAAGCCUCUUUACUGGUGUAAUCAUCAUCAAGCAGCUAAUUUUCUCAGCUCCCACCCAGUGUCCCUGCAGAGGACAGGCUGCAGGAGCCCUGAUGCCACCACGGAGCGAUGCUCUGCUGACACACACAACUCUGGGUCUGCCACCAGGGUCCCAGUCACACAGCCUGGGGUGCAGUGGGUGAAGUAUUUUAAGGCAAGUUCAGCUGCUCUUCCAGCAUGGCUCUGACCACGUUACCACACACACAGAUGCCAGGCUGGUCUGUACCUGCUGUGCUGACACCAAAACCAAACAGGGGACAAGGCAGCUCUUCCCAGCCACUGCGCCGUGGAGAGAGCAACCAUCCCAGCCAGUGCUGCUGGAGAUGUCUCCCAAGCUGGCCCACAGCUGGACAUGGUGCCCUUCACCCAGCAGACAUCACUGUGUCCUGUGGCUCCUCCACUUCACUGGUAGCUCAGCAAGGUCCACAGCUUUUCCAGAAGAGCAUCAACCACCAAGUUGUCCAUUAGCACAGGGCACGGGAAGGCGCUCUGCAUUCUCCAGGCUCUGUGCCUCUGGUUGGUAGGAUGGGCAGGCAGGUUUGGGUUUGUUUUUUUUUCCAAAGGAUCUCACUGCAUUUCUACUGCUCUUUACUAGAGCUGGAUGCCAGCCAGACACCCAGGCAGGCACUGCUGAGCAGGGCUGGAGUGGAGCAGGAUGCACUGCCAGCCUGCAGCCAGCUCAGCCUCUCCCGGGCAGUUUGGCUCCCAACUGGCAGGAACUGAGUCAUGUCCUGCACGUACCUGGCAUCUCCCCACCAACCCCUGCAGUGACCCAAGAUCACCCAAGCAGAGGGUGCUGCCCCUGAGC